ACGAUGUGUGGAGGAUGCUUGGAGGCACGUGAAGAGCAGUGUUGGCGCCAGCCCGGCGCAAUACGUGCUCGGCACAUUCGUGGACUUCAAAGGAGCAUUCGACAACGUCGAAUGGAGUGCUGCACUCAGCCGACUAGCCGACUUGGGAUGCCGGGAAAUGGGCUUGUGGCAGAGCUUUUUCUCCGGCCGAAGAGCAGUGAUCCGAAGCAGUUCCGGUACUGUGGAGGUACCGGUAACUAGAGGCUGCCCGCAGGGAUCAAUCAGCGGCCCAUUUAUCUGGGACAUACUGAUGGAUGUACUGCUUCAGCGUCUCCAGCCGUAUUGCCAGCUGAGUGCAUACGCGGAUGACUUGCUGCUUCUCGUCGAGGGAAAUUCCCGAGCUGUGCUAGAGGAAAAAGGAGCGCAACUAAUGUCCAUCGUAGAAACGUGGGGAGCGGAAGUUGGCGUUGCCGUCUCGACCAGCAAGACGGUAAUCAUGCUGCUGAAAGGUGCCUUGAGACGUGCGCCUACGGUGAGGUUUGCUGGAGCGAACCUUCCGUAUGUGCGUAGCUGUCGGUACCUUGGCAUCACGGUCAGUGAAGGAAUGAAAUUCCUCACGCACAUAGCUUCGCUUCGCCAGCGGAUGACAGGAGUCGUUGGAGCAUUGGCGCGUGUGCUUCGAGCCGACUGGGGCUUCAGUCCUCGAGCCAGGCGGACCAUAUAUGACGGACUCAUGGCACCUUGUGUGCUGUUUGGUGCCCCGGUAUGGUAUGACACCGCGGAACAAGUAGCUGCCCAGAGGCGACUAGCCUCCUGCCAGAGGCUAAUCCUGCUUGGAUGCCUUUCGGUAUGCCGAACAGUAUCCACAGUGGCACUGCAGGUACUUGGUGGAGCUCCCCCGCUUGAUCUGGCUGCUAAGUUAUUAGCGAUCAAAUACAAGCUAAAACGUGGAUUCCCGCUGGAGGAGAACGACUGGCUUUACGGCGAGGACAUUGCGUGUCUUAGCUGGGAGCAGAGGAAGACUCGCCUAGAGGAGUGUUUAAUCCAGAGUUGGCAGAACAGAUGGGACGAUGACAGCGAACCAGGACGGGUGACGCAUAGGUUUAUCCCAUACGUCACUCUUGCCUAUCGGGAUCCAAGUUUUGGAUUCUCGAUGAGGACGUCUUUCCUGCUUACAGGGCACGGGUCGUUCAAUGCAUUUUUGCACGGGAGAGCCCUCAGCGAUACCACUGCUUGCGCAUGUGGAGAUCCAUAUGAGGACUGGAUGCAUAUCUUGUGCGCUUGCCCCCUAUAUGCAGAUCUGCGGGACCUAGAUGGACUUGGAGUGCAGCGCCUUGGCGAAAACUGGAUCUUCGAGGGAAUCCUGGAUGAUCAAGAGAAGACUCAACGGCUGGCAAUGUUUGCGGAAGAAGUGUUCCUGAGGAGGAGGGGCGUUUAGCUCAACAUCUCUGCCGUGUGGUUAGCGGGCGAGAAUACUACCACAGUCCGCUGUUGCUUGUCGUAAGAGACGACUAAUACAGCGAUAGGAUUCCUCUAACCCUGCUUGUCGGAGCAAAAGGGGGAGGCCCACCGAGCCUCUUUUCGGUACCACGGGUUGAGCAGCUAUCCAAGACUGCUCAUUGAGGUAGGCCCCCUGGUGGGAGUAUCGUGGUGGCUGUGGUUGGUACCCAUAUCGCGGGUAGAGCCUUCAUGCUCGACGUUUGAGUUACGGUGCUAGUUGCGCAAAACUCGGGUGCUGUGACCCAGAGAUCAGUAGAGAUUUUAGGUAGAUCUCGCUCCUCAGCAAGGGGGAGUGCUUGCCCGGCAAGCAAGUACUCGAAUUGCUACCGGGGUGGUCGCUAUGUACAUAGCUAUAGCUUCUAGUCCGGGACGCUUGUCUGGCGUAUCCAGACACAUGCACCAUAUGCUCACUUGUGGGUGUAUAGGGUGCCGUGGUUGUAAUCCCUUCAGUGUGGAACACGCCACGUAAAAUAAGUUCGGAGGGAUCCGAAAAGCAUACAUUGUCCCUAUCUACUAUCUAGCGAAACCACAGCCAAGGGAACGGGCUUGGAAUAAUUAGCGGGGAAAGAAGACCCUUUUGAGCUUGACUCUAAUCUGGCAGUGUAAGGAGACAUAAGAGGUGUAGAAUAAGUGGGAGAUAUUAGACCUCGGUUUGGUAUCGUCAAUGAAAUACCACUACUCUUAUUGUUUCCUUACUUACUUGAUUAAAUGGAACGUGUAUCAUUUCCUAGCCAUUAUACGGAUAUAUUUAUUAUAUCUUAUGGUAUUGGGUUUUGAUGCAAGCUUCUUGAUCAAAGUAUCACGAGUUUGUUAUAUAAUCGCAAACAAAUUCUUUAAUAAAACGAUGCAUUUAUGUAUUUUUGAUUUGAAAAUUUGGUAUAACUCCAAUUACUCAGGUAUGAUCCAAUUCAAGGACAUUGCCAGGUAGGGAGUUUGACUGGGGCGGUACAUCUCUCAAAUAAUAACGGAGGUGUCCCAAGGCCAGCUCAGUGCGGACAGAAACCACACAUAGAGCAAAAGGGCAAAUGCUGACUUGAUCUCGGUGUUCAGUACACACAGGGACAGCAAAAGCUCGGCCUAUCGAUCCUUUUGGUUUAAAGAGUUUUUAACAAGAGGUGUCAGAAAAGUUACCAUAGGGAUAACUGGCUUGUGGCGGCCAAGCGUUCAUAGCGACGUCGCUUUUUGAUCCUUCGAUGUCGGCUCUUCCUAUCAUUGUGAAGCAAAAUUCACCAAGCGUUGGAUUGUUCACCCAUGCAAGGGAACGUGAGCUGGGUUUAGACCGUCGUGAGACAGGUUAGUUUUACCCUACUAAUGACAAAACGUUGUUGCGACAGCAUUCCUGCGUAGUACGAGAGGAACCGCAGGUACGGACCAAUGGCACAAUACUUGUUCGAGCGAACAGUGGUAUGACGCUACGUCCGUUGGAUUAUGCCUGAACGCCUCUAAGGUCGUAUCCGUGCUGGACUGCAAUGAUAAAUAAGGGGCAAUUUGCAUUGU
rnacentral:rRNA from 1 species